GACGUAGGGGGCGAGCGUUGUCCGGAUUUAUUGGGCGUAAAGAGCUCGUAGGUGGCUUGUCACGUCGGUUGUGAAAACCUGCAGCUUAACUGUGGGCGUGCAGCCGAUACGGGCGGGCUAGAGGUAGGUAGGGGGAGAACGGAAUUCCUGGUGUAGCGGUGAAAUGCGCAGAUAUCAGGAGGAACACCGGUGGCGAAGGCGGUUCUCUGGCCUUACCUGACGCUGAGGAGCGAAGCGUGGGGGAGCGAACAGG
rnacentral:rRNA from 1 species